rnacentral:snRNA from 1 species
AGCUUUGCACAGUGGCAGUAUGGCAGCCAGUGAGGUUUAGCUGAGGUGUGAUUCUUGCUAAUUGACGAUAAAAAAUAAGAUGAAGAAUGCUGCAAAUGCACACCCACGUGAGUGCA